UACGAAGGGGCUAGCGUUGCUCGGAAUCACUGGGCGUAAAGCGCACGUAGGCGGACUCUUAAGUCGGUGGUGAAAUCCUGGAGCUCAACUCCAGAACUGCCUUCGAUACUGAGAGUCUUGAGUCCGGGAGAGGUGAGUGGAACUGCGAGUGUAGAGGUGAAAUUCGUAGAUAUUCGCAAGAACACCAGUGGCGAAGGCGGCUCACUGGCCCGGUACUGACGCUGAGGUGCGAAAGCGUGGGAGCAACAGG
rnacentral:rRNA from 1 species